rnacentral:rRNA from 1 species
UACGGAGGAUCCGAGCGUUAUCCGGAUUUAUUGGGUUUAAAGGGUGCGCAGGCGGGAGAUUAAGUCGGCGGUGAAAUUUUGCAGCUCAACUGUAAAAGUGCCAUCGAUACUGGUUUUCUUGAGUGUGGAUGAAGUAGGCGGAAUUUGUGGUGUAGCGGUGAAAUGCAUAGAUAUCACGAGGAACUCCGAUUGCGCAGGCAGCUUACUAAACUACUACUGACGCUCAGGCACGAAGGCGUGGGGAUCAAACAGGAUUAGAUA